CGCAUUUGAAGCUUUCGCCCAGAACGAUGUAACCUUGGUGUUUAGGGAGCAAGUGGGAAGCCAACACUAUCAUUACAAGAGGGAUAACAGUCCGAAUUAUACCGUCAUCUUGGGUAGUCACCGGAACCGGAGAUUGAAGAUCGAGGUAGAUGGAAAGACUGUUGUCGAUGUUGCGGGAACCGGGCUUUGCUGUUCUUCAGGGUUUCAGAGCUACUGGGUCAGUGUAUACGAUGGGUUGAUUUGUAUCGGCAAAGGAAGGUAUCCCUUUCAGAACAUUGUCUUCCAAUGGCUUGAUUCCAAGCCUAAUUGCAAUGUUCAGUAUGUCGGGCUAAGCAGCUGGGAUAAACAUGUGGGUUAUAGAAACAUCAUUAUUUUCCCGUUAACGCAACAUCACAAUUCUCUCUGGAGCCACAUCGACUAUAAAGAGUACGAAGAGGAGUAUGAUGAGGAUGGAGAGCCUGAGUAUAUGGCUGAUCACCAUGAGAGGUGUGCACUUAUGAAG
rnacentral:misc_RNA from 1 species